CGUAGGGAAACCGAGUCUUAACCGGGCGUUAAGUUGCAGGGUAUAGACCCGAAACCCGGUGAUCUAGCCAUGGGCAGGUUGAAGGUUGGGUAACACUAACUGGAGGACCGAACCGACUAAUGUUGAAAAAUUAGCGGAUGACUUGUGGCUGGGGGUGAAAGGCCAAUCAAACCGGGAGAUAGCUGGUUCUCCCCGAAAGCUAUUUAGGUAGCGCCUCGUGAAUUCAUCUUCGGGGGUAGAGCACUGUUUCGGCUAGGGGGUCAUCCCGACUUACCAACCCGAUGCAAACUGCGAAUACCGGAGAAUGUUAUCACGGGAGACACACGGCGGGUGCUAACGUCCGUCGUGAAGAGGGAAACAACCCAGACCGCCAGCUAAGGUCCCAAAGUCAUGGUUAAGUGGGAAACGAUGUGGGAAGGCCCAGACAGCCAGGAUGUUGGCUUAGAAGCAGCCAUCAUUUAAAGAAAGCGUAAUAGCUCACUGGUCGAGUCGGCCUGCGCGGAAGAUGUAACGGGGCUAAACCAUGCACCGAAGCUGCGGCAGCGACACUGUGUGUUGUUGGGUAGGGGAGCGUUCUGUAAGCCUGCGAAGGUGGCCUGUGAGGGUUGCUGGAGGUAUCAGAAGUGCGAAUGCUGACAUAAGUAACGAUAAAGCGGGUGAAAAGCCCGCUCGCCGGAAGACCAAGGGUUCCUGUCCAACGUUAAUCGGGGCAGGGUGAGUCGACCCCUAAGGCGAGGCCGAAAGGCGUAGUCGAUGGGAAACAGGUUAAUAUUCCUGUACUUGGUGUUACUGCGAAGGGGGGACGGAGAAGGCUAUGUUGGCCGGGCGACGGUUGUCCCGGUUUAAGCGUGUAGGUGUGUGUUCCAGGUAAAUCCGGUUCACUUUAACACUGAGGCGUGAUGACGAGGCACUACGGUGCUGAAGCAACAAAUGCCCUGCUUCCAGGAAAAGCCUCUAAGCAUCAGGUAACAUCAAAUCGUACCCCAAACCGACACAGGUGGUCAGGUAGAGAAUACCAAGGCGCUUGAGAGAACUCGGGUGAAGGAACUAGGCAAAAUGGUGCCGUAACUUCGGGAGAAGGCACGCUGACA
rnacentral:rRNA from 1 species